AGGCGACGACGGGUAGCCGGCCUGAGAGGGCGACCGGCCACACUGGGACUGAGACACGGCCCAGACUCCUACGGGAGGCAGCAGUGGGGAAUAUUGCACAAUGGGCGAAAGCCUGAUGCAGCGACGCCGCGUGAGGGAUGACGGCCUUCGGGUUGUAAACCUCUUUCAGCAGGGAAGAAGCGAAAGUGACGGUACCUGCAGAAGAAGCGCCGGCUAACUACGUGCCAGCAGCCGCGGUAAUACGUAGGGCGCAAGCGUUGUCCGGAAUUAUUGGGCGUAAAGAGCUCGUAGGCGGCUUGUCACGUCGGAUGUGAAAGCCCGAGGCUUAACCUCGGGUCUGCAUUCGAUACGGGCUAGCUAGAGUGUGGUAGGGGAGAUCGGAAUUCCUGGUGUAGCGGUGAAAUGCGCAGAUAUCAGGAGGAACACCGGUGGCGAAGGCGGAUCUCUGGGCCAUUACUGACGCUGAGGAGCGAAAGCGUGGGGAGCGAACAGGAUUAGAUACCCUGGUAGU
rnacentral:rRNA from 1 species